UGGCUUCUUGCCUGACCUUUUACCUAUAUCCUCGGUUUGGUUAACCGUGGCUAACCCAAGGUGUAAACAAAACUAUAUGGCAUCAGUGAAAGAAUCAGUAGUACCCUGUAGGCUGUAUUUCUUUUCCUGACGGGGUGAGCUGAGCAGUGUUGGGUAUGGGGACAUGUCUCAUUUUUUACUCAUCUAUAACUUAUUUUGUAUUUUUGUCGAGGAUAAGUAUGCAUUUAGUUUGUUUUACAACUCACAAGUAUUAGUGCAAUCAUGUGAAGGAAAAAGAAAGGGAGGUGAGGGGUGUGAGUUGUGGGGUGGGGUGAGGGGUCUGGGGCCAAGGCUGGAGUCUGGAGGACCCCAGCACCCCAGCAGCUGAGGCUCAAGGGGAGGGGGACAUUCCGUGGGCGCUGGCCUCACCCAGUUAAGCAAGCCACUUAAUCUCCCCAUUUGGCAACUUUGUCCUCUGAACAGCAGGUGGGCUGUCGAGGACUCUCCCUCCUGCUCCUGGUGCCCUGGGCAGACCACCUGGGGCUGGUCAGAAAGGCAGCACCUCAGUCCCCACCAGAGGCCUGACGACCAGAGUCUGCAUUUUAACAAGAUCCAAGUGGUUGGUGCGGACAUUCAAGUUUGAGAAGCACCAGGCUGAAUGACAUGGAGGAUUUAGAACACCUAGUGGAGCGGGAGCAUGGACAAAGGUCAGCUCCCCCCUCUUCCCUUCCCUGAGCCUCCUCCCACACUCUCUUUGGGAAACUUUUUGCUCUGGAGAGAGGGAUUGGGUUAGGUUAGCAGGGGCUCACAUUCUGAUGGCGUUGCCUGUAUUCUGUUUCCUUAUGACCAUGACGUGGAAUAGACCACAAAGAUUCUUAUCCUGGUUCACAGAUGGAAGAAUGUGGCCCGAGGGAGUCCAGCAAUUGGUCCUAAGGUCAGAGUGAGCCCAAAGGGACACAGGACACAUGUGCAGAUGCCUGAGGCUUCGACCACCAAGCUAAGGUCACCCACGGAAGUGGUCACUCCCUCUCGUGGGGAGUGGGGGGCCCAGGGGGCAGCUGGAACCUAUGAUCAUCAAAAAGGCCAGGGGAGACCAAGGCCAACACCAUUCUCAUACAGUCCUUGUCUGUGUCCCACCGAACCCUCCAGAGACCAGCAAGGAGGGGUCCUGGUUCAGUUGUCUGAAUCCUGCCUUCCAGGCUGAGAACACCUUUUGAUCCUGGGCCAGGCCAGCUUUUUCCUCCCCGAGGAGAGCUCAGACCCUUGCCAUCACCUCCACCCCGAGUCCUGGUUGGUCGCUGCCUACUUAGCUGUACUGGUGGAGGGACCUAGACUGGGGUGACUCACUGUCACACAUCAGCCUAUGGAAGGAUAGUUCACAGUGCACGGCCCGGGGGAUGGUUCUGUGUGCUGCAUUCACAGACGGAGCCAGAAUGUGCUGAGCAGCAUGUGCGUGAGCAACGUGUCCACUCUGCAUGCGUCCGGGAAGUCCUCCCGUCAUCUGUGACCACUUCCUCGCCUGUCUCUUGGGGGUCUGCAGCCUCUACUGGGUAUCUGACCCUUUUCAUCGGCUCCUCUCCAGAAGUCUGUCUUACCAGCCACAGAGCCCAGCCCCGUGACCCCAGGGCCUGUAGACUCUGCCUGAGUUGAGGCCCCUCCCCUCCUGUGCUCAAGACUGGCCGGCUCAGUGCUCAGCCUGGUGUGGGCACAAGGUCUCUUGCUGCAGCUGGGCCCCUUGGCUGACCUUCGCAGCUCCUUCUCUUCGACUGGAGAGGCCUGGCAGUGUGCCUGCGGGGCGGGCCCCACUACUCUCCUGGGCUCCUCCCCUCCAUUCCAGGGCUCUGGCCGUAGCCUGGUCAGGGUCCUUGCUGACUUGUCAGCCAAACCCUGGAGUGAUGGCCCGAGGAGGCCAGUGGGGAAGCCCCAGUGUGUAGGACAGUAGUCCACAGCCAGGGACUGCCUCCCCCCCAUCACUGGGCAAUGCUGGUUGGCCAGUUGGUCUCCGAAUAUCUUCUGGAUGGCCUUCCUGCCAGAUCCCCUUGCCUACUUUCACCAGGAGCCAACCUUCAAGGGAUACUGAAAAGGGCAGUGGAUCGCUGGAGGACUACUCCUGGAAGCCAGCCUGCCUCCCUCUCGGAGCAGGCUCCUCCCCAUCCAGCCUCCUCUUCAUAGGAUCCUGUAACAGAAAAGUUACAUAGAGGUCG
rnacentral:lncRNA from 1 species